rnacentral:rRNA from 1 species
GAUGAACGCUGGCGGCGUGCUUAACACAUGCAAGUCGAACGGUGAAAGAGAGCUUGCUCUCUGGAUCAGUGGCGAACGGGUGAGUAACACGUGAGCAAUCUGCCCCUGACUCUGAGAUAAGCGCUGGAAACGGCGUCUAAUACCGGAUACGAGCUGCGAAGGCAUCUUCAGCAGCUGGAAAGAACUUCGGUCAGGGAUGAGCUCGCGGCCUAUCAGCUAGUUGGUGAGGUAACGGCUCACCAAGGCGUCGACGGGUAGCCGGCCUGAGAGGGUGACCGGCCACACUGGGACUGAGACACGGCCCAGACUCCUACGGGAGGCAGCAGUGGGGAAUAUUGCACAAUGGGCGAAAGCCUGAUGCAGCAACGCCGCGUGAGGGACGACGGCCUUCGGGUUGUAAACCUCUUUUAGCAGGGAAGAAGCGAAAGUGACGGUACCUGCAGAAAAAGCACCGGCUAACUACGUG